rnacentral:ncRNA from 1 species
UUAGUUUAUGAUGUAGUUUGAUUCUUGCUAUUAUAUUAAUUGUUAGGAAUUUAUACAUGUGAUUUUUUGAUUUAUUUUAGUUGAUCUUUAUUUAAUUAGCAGUAUUUAGUUUUAAACUAUUAAGUUAAUUUAGAUUUAGAUAUUUUAUUUAUUAUUGUAAAUGUUUGUGCCAGCAUACGCGGUUAUACAAUAAAUAUUAAUUAAUAUUUUUGGUUAAAUUGUAGUUAAAAUUUAUUUGAUAUUAAUUUUUAAUUUGUUUGGUGAAAUGAUUUAAAUUUAAAUAAUUUUUUUUUGGUUCUUUGAAAAUUAAAAUUUAAACUAGGAUUAGAUACCCUAUUAUUUUAUUUGUAAAAUUUUACCAGGGUAAUAAUAGUUAUGUUCUUUAAACCUAAAGAAUUUGGCGGUAAUUUAGUCUAUUUAGAGGAAUUUGUCCUUUAAUCGAUAAUCCCCGUUUUAUCUUACUUUAUUUUGUUUAAGUUCAGUAUGUAUACCGCCGUUAUAAGUUUAUUUUAUUAGAAUAUUUAAUUUACUUAAUAUAUUAUUAUAUUAUAUUUCAGGUCAAGGUGCAGUUUAUGAUAAAGUUGAGAUGAAUUACAAUAUUAUUUGAAUAAACGGAUUUAAAUUUUAAAUAUUUUAAUGAAGGUGGAUUUAAAGGUAAUAUUUUUAAUAAUGUUUAUUUGAUUGUAGCUCUAAGUUAAGCACAUAUCGCCCGUCACUCUCAACUAGUUGAGAUAAGUCGUAACAAAGUAGAUGUACUGGAAAGUGUAUCUAGAAUGAUUA